rnacentral:rRNA from 1 species
CCUACGGGGGGCUGCAGUGGGGAAUAUUGGACAAUGGGGGCAACCCUGAUCCAGCCAUGCCGCGUGUGUGAAGAAGGCCCUCGGGUUGUAAAGCACUUUCAGUGAGGAAGAACGCCUGGUGGUUAAUACCCAUCAGGAAAGACAUCACUCACAGAAGAAGCACCGGCUAACUCCGUGCCAGCAGCCGCGGUAAUACGGAGGGUGCGAGCGUGAAUCGGAAUUACUGGGCGUAAAGCGCGCGUAGGUGGCUUGAUAAGCCGGUUGUGAAAGCCCCGGGCUCAACCUGGGAACGGCAUCCGGAACUGUCAAGCUAGAGUGCAGGAGAGGAAGGUAGAAUUCCCGGUGUAGCGGUGAAAUGCGUAGAGAUCGGGAGGAAUACCAGUGGCGAAGGCGGCCUUCUGGACUGACACUGACACUGAGGUGCGAAAGCGUGGGUAGCAAACAGGAUUAGAUACCCUGGUAGUC